AUUGAACGCUGGCGGCAGGCCUAACACAUGCAAGUCGAACGGUAACAGGAAGAAGCUUGCUUCUUUGCUGACGAGUGGCGGACGGGUGAGUAAUGUCUGGGAAACUGCCUGAUGGAGGGGGAUAACUACUGGAAACGGUAGCUAAUACCGCAUAACGUCGCAAGACCAAAGAGGGGGACCUUCGGGCCUCUUGCCAUCGGAUGUGCCCAGAUGGGAUUAGCUAGUAGGUGGGGUAACGGCUCACCUAGGCGACGCUCCCUAGCUGGUCUGAGAGGAUGACCAGCCACACUGGAACUGAGACACGGUCCAGACUCCUACGGGAGGCAGCAGUGGGGAAUAUUGCACAAUGGGCGCAAGCCUGAUGCAGCCAUGCCGCGUGUAUGAAGAAGGCCUUCGGGUUGUAAAGUACUUUCAGCGGGGAGGAAGGGAGUAAAGUUAAUACCUUUACUCAUUGACGUUACCCGCAGAAGAAGCACCGGCUAACUCCGUG
rnacentral:rRNA from 1 species